GAUGAACGCUGGCGGCGUGCCUAAUGCAUGCAAGUCGAGCGAACGGACGAGAAGCUUGCUUCUCUGAUGUUAGCGGCGGACGGGUGAGUAAAACGUGGAUAACCUACCUAUAAGACUGGGCUAACUUCGGGAAACCGGAGCUAAUACCGGAUAAUAUUUUGAACCGCAUGGUUCAAAAGUGAAAGACGGUCUUGCUGUCACUUAUAGCUGGAUCCGCGCUGCAUUAGCUAGUUGGUAAGGUAACGGCUUACCAAGGCAACGAUGCAUAGCCGACCUGAGAGGGUGAUCGGGCACACUGGAACUGAGACACGGUACAGACACCUACGGGAGGCAGCAGUAGGGAAUCUUCCGCAAUGGGCGAAAGCCUGACGGAGCAACGCCGCGUGAGUGAUGAAGGUCUUCGGAUCGUAAAACUCUGUUAUUAGGGAAGAACAUAUGUGUAAGUAACUGUGCACAUCUUGACGGUACCUAAUCAGAAAGCCACGGCUAACUACGUG
rnacentral:rRNA from 1 species